UACGUAGGUGGAGUUGUGUGUUGGAUGUGAAACCUGGGGGCUCAACCCCCAGCCUGCGUCCAAAACUACAGCUCUUGAGUACUAUAGAGAGUGAGCGGAAUUUCUAGUGUAGCGGUAAAAUGCGUAGAUAUUAGAAAGAACACCAACGGCGAAGGCAGCUCAUUGGGUAGAUACUGACACUGAGGUACGAAAGCGUGGGGAGCAAAAAGGAUUAGAUACCCUUGUACGUCCACGCUGUCAACGUUGUACACUUGGCCUGGGGGGAUUCGACCCCCUCCGGGCCGCAGCUAACGCGUUAAGUGUACCGCCUGACGGACGUACGGUCGCAAGACUAAAA
rnacentral:rRNA from 1 species